rnacentral:lncRNA from 1 species
AAUUAGUUGUCUGUUCUUUUUAAUUAAUAGAAAUGUUUCUGGAGUUACAUAUGACCAUGGUGCCUCCCUAAUCAGAGUGGCUCCCUUCUCUCUUGUCAGAACACUGUUUAGUGUGUAUUUUGUUUCCAUAUUUGUUUUUUAAUAAUCCAGAUGCUUAUGUUCUUUGGUUAUCCAACUGGUGAGGAUUUCCAUGGUUAUGGACAAGACAUGAUAAGUGUAUUCAAAUUCAACAGUGUUCUUUUGAAGACCCUGUAAAGCACUCCUAUUCUUUUCGUGAUCUUGCUACUUACCUUCUCUGAUUUCGUUUAGCCUACCAGUUGAUUUAGUUUGGUUGGAUGAAUGUCUGUAGGCAAUGUGGUGGUAGUAAGAGGACAAUAAUUUGAUACUUUGUAGUUUGGUUUUGGUGUGCAUACCCUGAGGACCAUGUUUCUUGCCAUUUUGGUGCUUGCAUUGCAAUCUGGAUAUUGGAUAUCACCAGGUAGUAAGAAAAAGGUGCUUUGCAAUCUUAUCUUGUUUGGCAUCUCUAGUGAUCUCUCCUGCGUGGUACGGGUUUAUGUUCUUUUUGUGCAUGUAACCAUGGGUUUUCCAGUGCAUGAACUUCAAGUUUUUUUCCUAAUCAAUGAGUCCCUUCUCUUUGUCAAAACUACUGUUAUGUGGAAGUUCUGAACAAUGAUAAUAUUUUACACUAGUCUACUUUGGUGUUCUUGCUGCUCUUAUGCUUGUCAUGCCUCUUGAUUUUGUUUGUUUGGAUGCUUGUUUGUAGAUCAACAUGGUGAUCGUGAGGGGAUCAGAUUGGGUAAUUUCGAAGUUUGGUUUCAGUGUGUCCGUUGGUUGUGUACCUUGUUCCUUCGCCAUUUUGGUACUUGUGCUUGCACUGCAAUUUGGAUAUCACCAGGCACUGGCAAGGGCGUUAUGCAAUCUUGUCUUGCAUCUCUCUACUGAUCUCUUCUCUGUUUAUUUUUGGAGAUCUCUCCCCUAUUGUUAAUAUUGUUUUUGGAACAUGUGUAUUAUGUUCAGAUAUUAAUUCAUUUACGGAGUUGCUUCAGACUGUUAGCCAUUGUGUAAACCGCACACUGUUUUUGCCAUAAAACAUUGCCAUUUGAACAGUCAAAUAUUGAAUCUAGAACAGACAAAGUAAAAAACAUGGCUCAUCUUUUGUGUAACAAGUCAUGUACACUCUUUAUGUUAUUUAUAUCAACGCAACUAGUUUUGUGUUACCAGAGAUGGUUGAUGAUUUUUGGAUAUUUACAGAAUUUGGUAGGUCUGGUUUUCUUGGUGCAGUUGUAUCCGUAAGUUUUCUGAUUUUGCUAUGUAGGUAUGGAGUAUGAGAGAUCUGUGAGUUGCAGAAAAGAGUGUCUGCAGAAUGCUUGGCCUCCUGUGCUGUGGAAGUGAGACCUGAAGGAUGAGCUUAUGGCGCAGGGAAUCUCUUUCUGGGUUUUGCAAUUUUUUUUUGAAGUUUGAAUUUGCUUUGAAUUCGCACUUUUGUUGGUUUCUCAAGGCAUCCAAGGACUUCCUGUUAGCAUGAUUGGACAGAUUCUAAAUAUCUGUACAUAUCUAUGUUAUAACUCUAAAUAUUUGUGUAAUGAUAAUAGGAGAUAGCAUAGAUUAAUGUAGCAUAUUUUCAGAGAUAUUACAAUUAGGAAUAGCAUAUAUUUAGGGAUAUAUAGCAGAUUUUUAGGCGUGUAAAUCAGAAUUCUUUCUAUUUAAUGGAAGAAGUCAAAUUUGAGAGAACUCAUUCAACAAAAUUGACAGGAUGAAUGUCUGUAGGCCACGUGGUGGUAGCAAGAGGACAAUAAUUGGAUACUUUGUAGUUUGGUUUUGGUGUGCAUACCCUGUGGACCAUGUUUCUUGCCAUUUUGGUGCUUGCAUUGCAAUCUGGAUAUUGGAUA